rnacentral:rRNA from 1 species
UCUCCGGUCUGAACUCAAAUCGUGUAAACUUUAAAAGUCGAACAGACUAAAUUUUUCUAAACUGCUGCAUCUACACAAAAAAAUAACAAAUAAGUAUUAAUAAUUGAUUGAUCCUUCAAAAAGAUUAUUAAAACAAUUACGCUGUUAUCCCCAGAGUAACUUGUUUUAUUAAUCUUUUUGAAGGAUCAAUCAAUUAUUAAUACUUAUUUGUAAUUUUUUUGUGAUGAAGUUUAAAAAUUCAUUAGCCGCCCCAGCUUAAUUUUUUCUAUUUUAACAAUAAAAUAAAAGAAAUAAAAGAUUCAAGGGGUCUUCUCGUCCUUUUAUAUUAAUUUCUUCUUUUUCAAAGAAAAAUUAAUUUUAUUUUUAUAAAAUUGAGACAAUAUUAAGUUCAUUCACCCAUUCAUACUAUUUUACAAUUAAUAAACUAAUUAUUAUGCUACCUUUGCAA